CAGUACUGAAGCAGGAAGUCCAGACUGCAGAAAGAACUUGCGUGCUUGAUCUCCUACACAGACAACACACAGACACACACACAAAUAAUGAGAGAACACCUUAUUAGUAAUUAGCUCUAGGGAUUGUGUAUUUGAAAGAUCUUUAUUUUCUACUUUUAGUCACCUAACAUGUGACACUUAACAUUUAUUUAAACACACAUAUGCUACAUUUUUUUGUUUGCCUAAAUGACGUACAUUGCAUCCAUGGAUUUUUUUGUAGAUGUAGGGUGGUCGUGUAAGAAAUAUGUGAUACGAGCGCAGUGUGGUGGAGUGCUACUGCUGAGGUUCACUCUCUGUAGGGUUUUUAGAGGAAUUUCAGUCUUAGUGUGAACAGUUUUAUGUUUAAUUAUAUGUGACAGAGUUAUGAGAGAUACUCCACACUGCACUGACCUCAAUUCAAUUCCCACUCUUAUCAGGGCUCUGUGUGUGUGUGUGUGUGUGUGUGUGUGUGUGUGUGUGUGUGUGUGUGUGUGUACAUUCACCUGACACGUAUCCCAGAGUGGGAGUGAGGGAGUCAAACUGUUUGUCAUGCUUCCCUCUCUCUUCUGGGGUUAUGGCCCAAAUAUUAAACCCACCUGAGAUGGAGAGAAUGUUAAUCAUUAUAAAUCUCACACAGGUGUUUAUUUGAGGUGUGUUUAACAUGCACACACAACACACACCUUCACAUUCAGUCUCUCUCUCUCUAUCUCAAAACUAAAAAAGCAGCAAACCUCAGACACCCAGUAGGUUUUGGUUGAUGGACUACAUUUGAGGUUUCAGUGACUGUGCAUGUGUCUAACAAAGGUGACACCAACCUUCUUUAAGGCUGUUUCUAUAACACAAUAGUGAACUUCUCUGGAAUGCUGGCGUAUAGGAUGCAGCCCUUUGCAGUGUUCAUUGUGAGUUAAGCUCAAAGCACUGUGAGGAACAGGAAAUGGCAUCAUUCACAGUUUCCUGUUUAGAAAUCCAAGGCUGAGGAAGUCCAAGUGCCUUUGAUCAGGGAAGCGUACAGUACGUUCCCUUUCUUAAGCUGAUGGAGGAGUGAACUUUGCUCUGUACACUCUGUAGGGUGAGGUGAGGGUUAAAAGGUGGUAACUUGAGCCACAUCCUUGUUUCUCAUGUUAUAAAUUACCUUUGUACACACAUUGUCUGUGCUCACUGAAGCAUAUGUUAGCAUUUCUGGAUUCAAAAGAAAACACAAUUUCACACUCUGAUGCUCCACAACUCGUGACAUUUUUUAACUCUUGCCAGUGUUAGAAUAUAUAUGAGCUUCUUCUGUGCUUCUUGUUUUCUAAUAAACAACAUUACUGAUCAUAAAUGUACAGAAUUUCCCCCCAACCUCAAAUGUAGUUCAUCUGCCAAGUGUCUGGAGGAAAGGAAGCCACCAGUUUAGCAUCCAUCACAUACUCAUGUUGCCUCAGUCAGCUUUAUGCAGGUGUUCAGUGUCUUAAACAGACUUGUUGAUGUGAUUUCUGGCUCUGUUUAACACAUUGUUACUAUAAACAUGGACAAAAGGACAAAGUCACAGAGCUAAAAACAGUUGUAGGUCACCUUACAUUCUCAACACAUAGUUUGUUAAGAAGAUUUGUAUGGUCAAAGUAGUUUAGAUUAUAAUAGAGUUCACAUUUGAGUCUAAUUAUAUUUUAAUUAGACUGUGCUAUUUUAUGGAUGGAUGGAUGGAUGGAUGGAUUGGUGGAAAGAAGGAUGGUAAUGAAAGAUGGCUGGUAAAGGGUGGUGUUUUAAUGGAUGGAUGAUGGUAAAGAGUGAUAAAUGGAUGGAUUGAGGGACAGAUAGAUGGUGAAGAGCGAUGGAUGGAUAGAUGGUAAGGAGCAAUAAACAGAUGGAUGGAUGGUAAAGAUCAAUGGAUAGAUUGAUGGUAAGGAGUGAUGAAUGGAUGGGUGGUAAGGAGCAAUGGAUGGAUGGUAAAAGCGAUGGAUGGAUGGAUGAAUGGAUGGUAAAGAGUGAUAGAUGGAUGGAUGGAUAAAGAGCCAGCAGCAGUAAACAGGCUCCUCUGUCCAUUGAUCUGAGUUUUGGCCAGACGCAAGACGUUUUACAACCAAAAGCUUACACACACACACACACACACACACACACACACAGACAAAACAAUAAAUCAGACCCUCACUCUCUCUCUCUCUCUCUCUCUCUCUUUCUCUAUUAAAUAUCCAGAAUACUGUUGCUCUUUUUUUUCAUUUUCAUUAAAGGUUUUAAUUUAAUUCUCUUUGAUUUUCACUGCAUUUGAACAGCUCGGUGAGUGUGACUUUUUGCAGCCUCUGUAGAACGAUACAGUGACACACAAAGUGAUGAGUGAUUUUUAUUCUGAUUGUGUGAAAUGUGCUUCUGCUGUUUUAGCAGAAAAAAAAGCCUUCAUGCAUGAGGACAAAGUGAGUUCUCACCCACGCAAACAGGAUAAAUUACAUAAAUUCAUUCAAUCAGUUACUGCAUUGCAGUUCGAGCGGAAAGUGAUAUUCGUGUAGUGAAUGUAAUUAUUAAUAAUUUAAUUAUUAAUCAUUUAAACUUUCCGAGACUGACUCACAAUGAGCAAUGAGAUUAAAUAUCAGUACACACUUCGCUAGAGUUUCACUUCUGUAAAACCUUGUUUAAUUGCUGAGGUAGAACACUUCGCACAAUCCUACAGCAACAGCCUUCACUGUAACCAUGGAAACAAAAACUAGCUAAGUUACCAUGCUAAAAUAGUUAGGCGAAAACAAUGGAAUGUGAAAAACACUAAAAUCAUUAGGAGGUUCUUUUUUUUCCUAUUUGUAGCUUGUUGGAUUGAUUCGAUUUAUAGCAUUUGAAUCUAUAUUUUUAGCUACUUUAUAUUUUUAUUUUUACAGAUGAGUGUUUGCAGAGUAUGGGCUAAGUGUAUGUGAUAUGAACACACAGUGUAGCUAAUGCUAAUAAUGAUCACUCUGUGUGUGCACUUUAACAUCACACACUCAUUAAUGUUUAAAUGCAUUAGGAUUCUAAAUCUUUAAACCUGGAGUCUUCAGUCUUCUGCAAAGAGCCGGCGUGGCUGCAGGCUUUCAUUUCAUUUCUUACGCACACAUGGAUAAACACGUCAAUUCCACGAUUAAAAACAAUGCACCAGAUUGUGUUUUGACCUUACACACACACACACUGGAACAAACACACUCUUUGACUGGGGAUUGAUAGACACCUGCGUGCAGCACUGACCAAUCAGCAUUCAGCACCGCUUCCUCCACUAACAGAGUGUGUGUCUUUUCCGAGAGCGUUACCCAGCAUGCUUUGCGCUGAGGGAAGAAGGAGUCCUCUGUUCACACAGGAAACACACAGGCUCAGGCUCAGUCCUGAACUAUUUAGUAAAAGUGCACACACGCCAGACUGGGAUGUGUGUGCGUGUUACACAGGGUUAUACACUGUUUACACACAAUUUAUCUGAAAGCUGGAGGUUAAACUCCUCUGAGGUGUGUAUAUGUGUGUGUGUGUGUGCUUCAGUGUGACUUUCAUUUCGAGUAAAUCUCUGCACAUGUGAAGGGAACAAUAAAAGAGCAUGAGGGAAGAGUGUAAAAGCAACACUGACUUGGAGCUGUGAGGCAACAAAGUACUAUUUACACUUACACUGUAAUGAACCAUUUACGGGUCUGUUGGCUAGAUAUUUAGGUUUAGCUUAUGUUCUCCAUCAGUAGCUCCAUGUUGUAAUGCUAGCUAGCUUUUUUAAUAGCACGCUAGUUAGCUGUGAGUGUACAGGCCACUCUGUAGCACGUUUGUAUGUAGUUACAUUACAUAUGCACUGUUGACUGAAAUGUAUCCAUAUUUUUCUAUGGUUAGCUACUGCCUUAUUUGGAAAAUAUAUUUCAUCUAUAUUUGAGAAUUGACUAACAAACUGUCAAUCAACCAAACAACCCCCACAAAAUUUUUAAAAAAAGACAGUGAAAUUAAAAUCAGCAGACUGUGCACAGGGACUGUGUAUUUUUAAAUAUUUUUUGUUAUUCAUAUUCGUGUGUAAUUUGCAAAAUCUAUUUUUGGAUUUUUCUUGCAGAGCUCUGUAAUUUUUGCCACAAAAUUCCACACCAACAAUCAUGCAUAUGCUCACACACACACAUACACACACACAGCACUGUAAGUAUUUAGGGCAACCCAUGUCCUCUAGGAUGGACUUUUACUGUGACUAUACCGUAUAGACCAUCUUUCUAGGUCACGUCUCCACACUGAUCGCUCAUACAUGACCCAAUCUAUAGGCUCCUGCUAUUAAUAACACACACACACACAGCGGUGCUCUGAGACAACCAACAGUACAGGCAUGUUAAUACCUGUGCAGGUAUAACUUUUUUAGUAUAAUAUAGUGUGGCACAAGUGUACUGUAGUGUAUUAUAGUGUAGUAUAAUGCAGUAUAGAGGAGUGGAGUGGAGUAUAGUACAGUGUGGUACAGUACAGUUUAAUGUAGUACAGUAGUAUAGUGUAGUGUAUUAUAGUCUAGUAUAAUACAGUGUAGUAUAUCACAGUGUAGUAUAUUAUAAUUGAGUGUAGUA